UCAAGUACGAUUUUGGCAGUGCACUUUUACCUUUCUAGAGUUAUGUCCCUUUAAAAAUGGAAAAAUUGCUGAAUUUUUUGUUUCUGUUCUCUAAUUUUACUUUGCCUCAACCAAAUGUUAUGAAUCUUAUAUACAAUGCUUAUUACCACAAAACACAGAUCAAGUUCGAAUUUUGGUGGCGUCACUUUUACUGUUCAAGAGUUAUGCCCCUUUACAAAUGGACAAAUUGCUGAAUUUUUAUACGACCGCAAAAAAUAUUUUGUGGUCGUAUAUUGGUAUUACGUUGGCGUCGGCGUCGUCCGGCGGCGUCGUCGUCCGAAGACACAUUAGUUUUCGCACUCUAACUUUAGUUUAAGUGAAUGGAUCUCAAUGAAAUUUUACCAUAAGGUUCAAUACCACAAAAGGAAGGUGGGGAUUGAUUUUGGGGGUUAUGGUACUAACAGUUAAGGAAUUAGGGGCCAAAAGGGGCCAAAAAUAAGCAUUUUUGUAACUUCCAGACAUAACUUGUGUGUAAGUGUAUGGAUCUCUCUGACAUAGUACCACAAGGUUCCAUAUCACAAAGGGAAUGCUGGGAUUGAUUUUGGGGGUAAUUGCCUCCAAAUUUUAGGAAUUAGGGGCCAAAAAGGGGCAAAAAACAAGCAUUUUUCUAGUUUCAUGACAAUAACUUGUUUGUAAGUGUAUGGAUCUUUAUGAAAUUGUACUACAAGGUUCCAUAUCACAAAGGGAAAGCUGGAAUUGAUUUUUGGGGUAAUUUCCUCCAAAUUUUAGGAAUUAGGGGAUAAAAAGGGGCAAAAAACAAGCAUUUUUCUAGUUUCAUGACAAUAACUUGUUUGUAAGUGUAUGGAUCUUUAUGAAAUUGUACUACAAGGUUCCAUAUCACAAAGGGAAGGCUGGGAUUGAUUUUGGGGGUUUUCCCUCAAAAUUUUAGUAAGUAGGGGCCAUAAAAGGGCAAAAAAAACAUGCAUUUUUCUAGUUUCAGGACAAUAACUUGUGUGUAAGUGUAUGGAUCUUUAUGAAAUUGUACUGCAAGGUUCCAUAUCACAAAGGGAAAGCUGGAAUUGUUGGGGGUAAUUGCCCUAAACGUUUAGGAAUUUGGGGCCAAAAAGGGGCCAAAAAACAAGCAUUUUUCUAGUUUCCAGACAAUAACUUGUGUUCAAGUGUAUGAAUCUCUCUGAAAUUGUACUGCAAGGUACCAUACCACAAAGGGAAAGCUGGGAUUGAGUUUGGGGGUGAUGAAUCAUAAGGGGGUUCAAAAAAUUUGGGAGGGGAUUUUUUUUUCCUUUUUUUUCUUUAAAAUUUUCCAUUUAAUAUUGGUUAUUUCUGAUUUAUAUAUAAAAGCAAAUAAUAAUGAUAUGGUUUGAAUAGGUAAAUUAAAAAUUUUUAAAUUCUUA